UCUGUCCGCGGGCGCAAUAUCUCUGCGAAUGAGGGUUAGCUGCUUUCGGAAGGUACAGUACACGGGAUAAAAAGGAAAGCUGCAAAAAAACGGGAGGGAAAUACUUUCGGUAUUGACUGAGAGGCUUUAUUAGCCGUUGAUGCAUGUCAGAAAACAAAUUUUAACAUGCCGGUCCCGUGUUUUGCAGCAAACGGAAAAACUGCUACGGACCUGAGGCUGCGAUAGGCAGAGGUAAUUGCCACCAUCUUUAUUAGGGGCAGUGAUCUUCGGGACUCAUGCCGGAUCGCCAUAUUUAUAGGUGGCAACCUGCAGUGGAACGCAAGCGCAGCCUUUCUUGCUUGGGAGGGGAGAUUAAGACAAGAGAAAUGUUUGUUUUUGUUUUUGUUUUUCUGGACUUCUUUCCCAGACUGUGAGACACGGCGUGUAUUUCCUGGGAAGGACCUUUGACGCUGGCGGAGUACUGGCUUCAGGCAGUAUAAAUUGCUGCAAGUUAUCCGUUAGAUAUUUAAUGGAGGAGAAAUGCCGAAAACGUGUUCAGAACUGCAUGUUCAAAAACAAAGUUGCUGGAAAAGCUCAGUAGGUUUGGUAGCAUCUGUGAAAGGAAAAAAAAUAACGUUUCGGAUCCGCUAAUCCUUGCUUAGAACUUCAUGUUACCUGUUGCACUCUCACUGUAGGAAGUCCUGCUUUAAAUAUUAUGAUCUAUUAAAGCAUAUCCGUUUGCCCAGUAUUCAUAUGAUUGGGAUCAAAUCACUGAAAGUGCUCUGAGUCCCCUUGUGCUCCCUCGUCAAAUUUAUUAAUGUCUGACUUCCUCAGUCUGUAAUAAUGGGUGUAUUUUACCUCUGCAUCUUUCUGUGUGGGGGAGCAGGGUGCUUUUAAGAGGAGGAUUUAUACAUAACUAACAGAAACCAAGAGAAAUGUUUGCCUUUUCCAGACAAUCUUGUGUUUUCUGGAUUUCUGUCCAGGCCUGACCGUUAUUUGUCUCUUGUGGAUUUGCUUUACAGGAUAUUUAUUGAGAAUAAUUUGCAAACCAGGAUCCCAAUGCAAGUUCUCCAUUAAGCGGAGUGAUCAGGAUCUGAGUAUCAUUGACACUUAACAGUGAAAGGAAAGAGGUUUAACCAUUCUAUGCAUGGGAGAAUACUCCUGGACUCUUUUAUACCCCCCACAGGACCUUUUGUGAUCUAAUCCCGUAACAGUGUGAGCUGCUACAAUGCACGUGCUAGUAAAAGCAUAAGAGGACAGAUGAGAUGAGUGCAUGGCUGGAGCUAUAACUUAAAAGGUUUGGAUUCCUGAGGCAUUGAGACUGUUUGUUUGUUUCUGGGGAAGGUGGGACAUGCACAAGCUUGAACAAUUGUCCAGGGCAGAGCUGGGACAGAUAUUCUUGUUGAUGCUUUUGCUAGUUCCACUGGUGAGGAUUUAAACUCGUAUGACAGGGGAAUGGGAACCAAAGUAUAGCUUUAGCAGUAAAAGACUCAAAUCAGCAAAUGGGAUUUGAAAUUAGUUCAUGAUGUUGUCGGUGGCUGAAAGAUUAAUAGAAAGAAGGAUUAAUCAAGAUCAAAUCUCUUUUCAUACAUCAGUCCUGUGAUCCCAGGAAUUGGUCUGGUGAACCUUCUUUACGAUCAUUCAGUAGCCAGGCCAUCCUUCCUCUGGAAAGGAGAACAAAGGUGCACACGACUCCAGGUGUGGUCUCACCAAGGCCCUUAUAGAAAGAUAUCCCUCUUCCUGUACUCGAAUCCUCUCACAAUGAAGGCCGAAAUAUCAUUUGCAUUCUUCACUACUUGCUGCUGCCUGUUUCCUAAAAGAGAAUAGGAGAGAAACACGGAACUAAAUGGGGUCAGACACUCGGGUAACAUUGUGUUCAACAAUGUCCCCAUUGUAGCGGUGCUGGCCAUCAAGCACCUAUUGAAGCUAGGCCCGUUUUCUGGCACUCGGUGUGUAACCUGUAUUUUGGUGCAGUGGAUGAUCAUCUCAACACUUCUUCAAGAUUGCAAUGGUUCCUGCAUCUAUCACCAUUUCAGAUGCUGCCAGAUCUGCUGAGUAUCUCUAUCAUUUUCUGUUUUUAUUUCAGAUUUCAGGUAUUUUUCUGCAUCUUAGUCCUUCAGAAGGAUCAGAGGGUAUGGAGAGAAAACAGGAAUUGGAUUCAUUUUCAGAUGAAUAAAAUGCCUGCCCUUCAUGUCUGUCCAAACUCUAUCUCUUUUUGUAGUUUUGGACAAACGCUGACUGUUUCCCUUCCCUGAAGGACAUUUAAUGAACCAGUUCAGUUUUACUGAUAAUCCAGCAGUGCCCCUCAGUGUUGCAUCCACAAUUGAUCAGAUUAAUUUCUGAGUUUGACAAUCUUUGUGUGUGUUCUUCUGGUUUCUCUCUCUCUCUCUCUACUUUUUUUUUUCUUCAGUUUGAAAUUGUGAUUGCAUUCAGAGAAAUCAAACAAAACCACAUCCAGAUCUGACACUCAAUCUGUUUGUCGUAACCUAAUUAUCUCAGGAUUUUGAACAUUAAAGGAAGAAGCACUGUUCACACCAGGGAGAAAUGCGUAUUGUCUGUGUGUCGAAGAUUCUGUGAAGAUUCAUCUGAAAUGCCCAAACACCAGCACGGUCACACUGGGGAGAGACUGUGGUAAUGUGGGGAUUGUGGGAAGGGAUUUAUUUACCCAUCCCAGCUGGAAAUGCACCAACGCAGUCACACUGGGGAGAAACUGUUCAUUUGCUCUGAUUGUGGGCUGGGAUUCACUCAGUCAAGCAACCUGCUGAAACACCAACGAGUUCACAGUGGGGACAGACUGUUCACAUGUUCCGAGUAUGGGAAGGGAUUUGCUCACUCAACCAACCUGCUGAGACACCAGCGAGUUCACUCUGGGGACAGACCAUUCACUUGUUCUAUGUGUGGAAAGGGAUUCACUCAAUCAUCCCAACUGUUAACACACCAGCAAGUUCACCACAACCACAUUUGAAGGAUUUUGCCCUUAAAUCAAGGAAUGAACUUUGAUCUUUGGGCUGUUUGUACUGGUGUCAUUAGUCCCUGCUCAAAACUUGAUCUUCUCUUGGGAAAUAAGGUAGGGCAGGUGACUGAGGGGUCAGCAGGGGGAACAAUAUUUUGGGGCCUAUGAUUAUAUCUCUAUUAGUUUUAAAAUAAUUAUGGAAAAGGAUAGACUUUGGUCGAAGAGUCAAAGUUUUAAAUGAGGCCAAUUUUGACACUACUAUGCUUCUUAAAAGCACAGUAAGACCGCCUAUGUGUGGGAAUGCACGAGAUGGGUGAGAUACAAAAAAGUAUUUUACAUCAGUAUUUACUGUGAUAAAGGAUACAAAAGCUAAAGAACUUAGAGAAAUGAAUGUGUAUCUUGAAAAGUUCCAUGUUGUAGAGGAGGUGGUGCUGGAUGCCAUACAGAGCAUAAAGGUGGAUAAAUCCCCAGGACCUCUUCAGGUGUAUUCUCGAACUUUGCGGGAAGCUAGGCUUGCGAUUGGGCCCCUUGCUCAGAUAUUUGCACCAUUGACAGUCAUAGGUGAGCUGUUACACUGGAGGUUGGCUAAUCUGGUGCCAUUGUUUAAGAAAGGUGGUAACAUAAAACCAGGGAACAAUAAAUUUUUAGUGAGCCUGAUGUCAGUUGUGGGUAAGUUGUUGGAGGGAAUUCUGAGGGAUAGGAUUUACAUAUAUUUGGAAAGCGUGGACUGAAUGGGGAAUAGUUGACAUGGCUUUGUCCAUAGGAAAUUAUGCCUUACUAACUUGAUUGAGUUUUUUUGAAGAAGUUAGAAACAAGAUUGAUGGCAGAGCGGUGGAUGUUUUCGAUAUUCCUCAUGGUCGACUGAUUAACAAGGUUAGAUCACAUGGAAUCCAGGGAGAGCUGGCCAUUUGGAAAGGCCUUUGACCUGCAGUAUGCUGCAAGGAUUGGUACUUAGUAACUAUAACUCCUACAUUCACAUCCAAAUCAUCUUUAUAAAUGACACACCACUGGUCACAGGCCUCCAGUCGACAAAGCAACCCUCCACCAGCACUCCGUCUUCUACCUUCAAGUCAGAUCUGUUUCCAAAUGACUGGUUCUCUCUGUAUUCCAUCUGAUCUGACCUUGCUAAUCAGUCUACUAUGAGGAACCUUGUCAAACGCCUUAGUGACAUCCAUAUAGAACACAUCCACCUCUUUGCGCUACUCAAUCCUCUUUGUUCCUCCAUCAAAAAAAAUCAAGUCAGUGAGACAUGAUUUCCCACACACACAGCCAUGUUGAUUAUCCCUAAUCAGUCCUUCCCUUUCCAAAUAUUUCAAGUACUAUCCCUCAGGAUUCCUAGAACGACUUUCCCACCACUAAUAUCAGGCUCACUGGCCUAUAGUUCCCUGGCUUUUCCUUACCACCUUUCUUAAAUAGUGGCACCACAUUAGCCAACUUCUGGUCCCUCACCUGUGACUAUCGAUGAUACAAAUAUCUCAGCAAGGGGCCCAGCAAUCACUUGCCUAGCUUCCCUCCGAGUUCUCGGAUACACCUGAUCAGGUCCCAGGAAUUUAUCCACUUUUAUACGUUUUAAGCAUCACUACCUCUGUAAUAUGGAUAAUUUUCAAGAUGUUGCUAUUUAUUUCCCCACAGUCCAUAUCUUCCAUAUCCUUUUCUGUAGUAAAUACUGAUGCAUAAUACUUGUUUUAUUAUAUUCCCCAUUUCUUGCAAUUCCACACAUAGGAGGCAUUGCUGCUUUUUAAGGGGCCCUAUCUCUCCAUCGUUAUCCUUUUUGUUCUUAAUCUAUUUGUAGAAUCCCACUGGAUUUUCCUUAAUACUAUUUGCCUAAGUUACCUCAUGUUCCCUUUUUGCCCUACUAAUUUCCCUCUUAAGUAUACUAUUGUCAUUAUACUCUUGUAAGCAUUCACUCGAUCUCUGCUGUCUAUACCUGACAUGUCCUUCCUCGUUUUUCUUGACCAAAACCUUGAUUUCUCUAGUCAUCCAGAAUUCCCUAUACCUACCAGCAUUGUCCUUCACCCGAACAGGAGUAUACUGUCCCUGAACUCUCGUUAUCUCUUUUUUUUGAAGGCUUCCCACUUUCUAACUUUCUGUUUUACCUGCGAACAUCUGCCCCAAUCAACUUUUGAAAGCUCUUGUGUAAUACCAUUAAAAUUGGCCUUCCUCCAAUAUAGAGCUUUAACUUUCAGAUCCGGUCUACUCUUUUCCAUCACUAUUUUAAAACUAAUAGAAUUAUGGUCACUGGCCCCAAAGUCCUCCCCUGCUGAUACCCUAGUCACCUGUCCUGCUUUAUUUGCCAACAGCAGGUCAAGUUUUGCACCUUCUGUAGUCGGUACAUCACAUACUGAAUCAGAACAUUUUCCUCUACACUCUCAGCAAACUCCGCUCCAUCCAAGCCUUUUAGACCAUGGAAUUCCCAGUCUGUUUGGAAAGUUAAAAUCCCUUCCAUCACCACCCUGUUAUUCUUCCAGAUAACUUCUUUCAAAAUUAUUUGUCAGAUUCCUGCUGACUAAUGGGGGUGGCUAUAGUAUAAUCCCAAUAAGGUGAUCAUCCCUUUCUUAUUUCUCAGUUCCACCCAAAUAACUUCCCUGGAUGUAUUCUCAGAUAUAUCCUGCCUAAGUAACGCCGUAAUGUUAUCCUUGCUCAAAAAUGCCACUUUUCCCUCCUCUCUUGCUUUGCUUCCCCCUCCCCCUUCGACUUUCUAUCCUUUCUAUAGGAACUAUAUCUUAGAACAUUAAGCUGGCAGCCCUGUCCACCUCUGAGCCUUGCCUCUGUAAUUGCAAUGAUAACCCAGUUUCAUGUUUCCAAUCUUGCCCUGAGUUCCUCUGCCUUAGCUGUUAGGCCUCUGGCAUUGAAAUAAAUGGCGUUUAAUUUAUUAGUCCUUUCGCAUUAAUCUCAAUAACAAAUACGUAACUGUAGAGUAGGUUUUGAAAAUGAUAACGUUUUAUUGCUGUAGAUCAACACAUUCACACUGGGUAAAGACAAUCCACCCGCAGUGUGUGAAAAGGGAUUCCCUAGUUCAUUAGGACGGGUUUUCAUAGAAUUCGGAGUAUUCCUACAGUAUGGAAACAGGCCCUUCGGCCCAAGAAUUCCACACAAAACCUCAGAGCAUCCCACCCAGACACAUCUCCCCGUAGCCCACCUAAUGUACGCAUCACUGAACACUCUGGGCAAUUUAGCUUGGCGAAUCCACUAACCAGCACGUGGGAGGAAACCAGAGCACCUAGAGGAAACCCACGCAGCCACAGGGAGAAUAUGCCAACAACCACACACUCGGUUGCCCAAGGGUGGAAUCAAAUCCAGGUCCCUGGCACUGUGAGGCAGCAGUGCUAACCGCUGAGCCACUGUGGUUAAACACCAAUGAGUUCCCAAGAAUCUGUAGGAAUUUUUGUUGCUCGUAUUAUCUGUAUUCAAGUCAUGUUAUCUGGGCUUGUUUCUCAUGAUGUUUGAAAACACCACAUGUCUGGUUACCUUGUUGGGAGAAAAAAUGAUAUAAAUUUUAUUAAAACUACUGUGCAUUGGAUCUUUAUCUCAAAAGCAGACUAAUUUAUUUUGAAAGGGGAGAUGGAGAGCCUAUCUCCUCUAUCCUCACCUCCAACAAGUGCGAGGAACCUGUGGUUUUUAUUUUUCACUCAAUGACAGUCAGUACAUUUCAUAUGAGCAACUGGGAACCGAGUCAUCCCAAAAUGCUUGAAACUUAGUGUACUAAUGGUACACUAUUACAAUAAUAACCAUUACAAUUCUUUUCUGAACCUUUUGAAGUUUUACAACAUCCGUCCUUCAGCAGGAAGAGUAGAAUUACACACAGCGGUUACACCUAAACUGGAAUGGGAACUGCAUCCUUGUGGGAGCUGGGGAUGGGUUUCCAGUACUGUUGGGGGUCAUGUAAAAAGUUUAGCAGUGGGCUGAAAUCCAGAGAAUGUUCAAAAAUAAUAAUGGCCAAAAAGAGAAGAAACAAGAGAGUCUGGAAGGCAUUGUCAUUGGGCAAUUAAGAUAUAAGCGAGUUUGCCACGGGUGAAUGGUAUUUAAUGCUUGGAGUCAGAUGAAUAAGGCAGAUGAUUUGAGGAUACAAAUUAGUGGGGUCAUAAAGCCAUUGCUGUCACUUGGACAUGGUUAGCAGCUCAGUAUUCCAGGAUACAGGGCCUUCAUGCAAGGCAGUGGAGGUGGUAAAGGAGGAGGAAAUAUUGUUAUUUUGCUUCGGGAAUCUAUAUAGCAAUAAGGACAGGUGACAUUUUUGAAAACCCCUUUAAAUAAAUAAGGAGACAGAUUUUGAGAAAGUGUAGAAGUAGCAGGAUUAUGGUAGCAGAGACUUUCAACUUCCUCAACAUUAAUGGAGUCGUCAUAAUGUGAAGGAUUUAUCAGAAUUUUUAAAAUACAUCCAGGAGAGCAUUUUUUCAGCCACUAAGUAGAAGUCCCAACAAGGAAGGGGAAGGCCCUGGACUUGACUUUAGGUUACAAAGUUGAGCAAGUGGUUGAAGUUUCAGUGGGAUAGCAUUUUGCAGGUAGUUAUUAUAACUAUUCGAUUCAGGAUUUGUAUGGAAAAGGACAAGGAUGGGUCUAAAGUCCUAAACUGAUGCUGAAGUUAUGAAGAAAGUAAAUGGAAUUUUGGCCUUAACUGCGAGGUGUUAGUGUUUUGAGGAUCGGGACAUCUUGUAACAACUGUAUUGGAUGUUGGUGAAGCAUAUUGGUUUAGCUACUCGUAUUUAAGAAAGGAUAUGCUGGCGUUGAAUGCGGUGCAAAAGAGAUUCGCUAAGCUGAUUCAUGGGAUGUAAGGGUCAUCAAGAAUAGCUGGAGGAAGGGAAUUUGCAAAGGGAAAAUACUAAAUAAACAGGUGGUGCCCAGUGUUGGGCUCAUACUCACAACUCUGCACUUAAACAGCGUAUGUUCCAACAACUGAGUUAACUUGGCCUUCCACAGUCAAUGUUCAAAUCCUGCUUUAUAAGGUGACAAAUGGGUUUUUCACUGACGCCGCUGCAGUCCAAGGAAGUAAAAGGUAACUGCUUUAGAAAAUCCCAAGGUUCCAAUGUAUUCUUCUCAUUCACAUUGCAAUCCAUUUUCAGUACUUGCUCCAGGAUUUAACAUUCAAAAUUAAUUUCGUGAUGUUGUUGCCCUCAUCUUUAAGUGCCCUGUAUAACUCCAGUCACUCGGUCGAAUGGUGAAAAAGUCUGUUUCAAUAAACCAAUUUUUUUCAGC